CACGUAGGGCGCGAGCGUUGUCCGGAAUUAUUGGGCGUAAAGAGCUCGUAGGCGGCCUGUUGCGUCCGCUGUGAAAGCCCGGGGCUUAACCCCGGGUCUGCAGUGGAUACGGGCAGGCUAGAGGUAGGUAGGGGAGAAUGGAAUUCCCGGUGUAGCGGUGAAAUGCGCAGAUAUCGGGAGGAACACCGGUGGCGAAGGCGGUUCUCAGGGCCUUACCUGACGCUGAGGAGCGAAAGCGUGGGGAGCGAACAGG
rnacentral:rRNA from 1 species